rnacentral:piRNA from 1 species
UAACAAGGAUUCAAUGAGCUAAUAUGCA